rnacentral:lncRNA from 1 species
UGUGUUCAGCGAUGUCAUCCAUGAACCUGCAAAUUAUUGUGGAAGCUUUGAUGAUCUUAGGGUCAUUGGUUGCCCAUGCAAAUGUCUCUGGAGUUAUAACAUCUCCCAUGCCCACAAAAGCUGUAAUAGCAAGCAUGCCAUAGCCCGAGGUUGGCAAUGCAUUAUCCCUAAACUCCUCAAAUGUUGGUUUGUAGUUUUGAUGGGUCCAUUUGGCUUCCAAAAGGUAAGCUUGAGCAAGUCGUAUCAUCUGCACAAACAUCAAAAUAUAACAAUUAAUACUGACUAACAUUUCAACUGUAUAACUUUAUUGAAACAAAAUUGGAUGUUAAUUUGUGGAUAAUUAUAAAGUAUUUUAUAUCCAAGUUAACUGUCAAUCUACUUACAGCCUUCCUUGCAUAUUCAACACGGUAUUGUCUCCCUUGCUCUGCCGUUAGUUGCUCCAUUUCUUCAUAAACAUCUAAGAGUGCCUUAUAGCUUAUUUUCAUGAAUUCUGGGAGCUCAUCCAUACAUUUAAUAUCCCACCUGAAACCCAUUUCCGAGGCUAAAUGUUUAAUAUUUCAUCAUUGAUCAUGUAUAUUCUUCAAAAUAAAUGUACAUUCACAAUUUCAACAAAACUAACCUCUCGAUUGCAUUUGUAUAGGGAAUGAGCUCGUCAUAUGUUGCAUAUGAGUCAUACGUAUCAUCUACGAUGGAUGCCAUGGCAAUUACUUUUGUCAUCAUCUUUCUACCAAGAGAGUAUUGUGGCUCAAAGUACACUCCCAUUAUCCAAAAGUAACCUUCAACCACUCUAUCUCUCGCAAAUGGUAACUUUUUUGUAAAGUCUAAAUCCUUCCACCACCUAUAGAAAAAAACAAACAACAGAUUUCAAACCCAUUACCACAACCUAAUCGUCAUUUCACUUAGUAGAGUGUUAGGAUUUUGAAGUCUAACAUUCAAACUCUUACCUACAAAUUUCACUUAGCUCUUUCCUAUGCAAAAGCUGUAACAAGUUGAAAUCUAUCUUUGCAAAUUCCAACAAUGCCUUAUUAUGGGAUUCAAUAUCCUGGUAUAUCGAAAUGUAUCGCCUAGCCUCGACCCUUGGCAAGCCUCUUCGGAUGGACUGUUUUAAGGCAUGUGCAACUUGUUCCGACAAUGGAUACUCUAAAGUAGGUGCUGCAAGAGUUAGGUGAGUGGUGGUGAAAGAAAUUGCCUCAUCCAAUAUAUCUUCCCCAUGCACCCGCAUAUACGAAGCUUCAUAAAGCUCCAACAGUCCUUUCACAUCAGUGGUUAUGGACGACAUGAAAUUUCCUUCCUCAUCUUUGAACUUAUCGAAUACCUCUGCUCAAACAAUACCCAAAAGUCAUUAUCAAAAACAUCGGUAGGCUCAAUCAUCUUAUAUAUAUUAAAAAGUAUUAAGGAUAAGGAUUGCGUAAAGUAAAAACUAAAUUACCACAUGAAACAGUGAAGCCAUGCUCUCUAAGUAAUCGAAAUCGAAGAGAGGUGGUAUAGAGAUCAUUGUCGACAUCAUUGUUGUCAUGGUAUGUAGCUUCUAAUGCAUCUUCAAUCUCUUCCUCAAAAUGGUAAUACACACCCAACCUUUGGACUGCAUCAAUUAGGGGCAGUUUUUGGUUUGAACUAUCACCCAUGGGAGCCACAAGCAUCCGCCUAACUUCUUCUUUUAGUUCUUCAUAUCGGAGUUGAGUUGCAGUAUCAAUAUCCUGCUCAAAAAUGAAAAUUUCUUCUUAUUAAAUACAAUUUAUUUAAAUAAUAUUAAGAUCAAUAAAAAAACAAUACAAAAUAUGUACCUCAUUAGGGCAAUUGAGGAAGAUAUCUCCCCAAAUGCCAGGGUGAAAAUCAGCCUUGGGGCGAUUUUCCAUGUUGCAGGGGAUGGAAGUAUGGGGUGAAGCAAGGAUUUGAGAAACUUGUGAAGCCAUGUAUUUCUCUUGUUGGAACCAAAUAUAUUGUUCAAAGUGCUAAUAAAUUUGAGUUCUUAAAUUAGCACAGAUAUUUGUGUGAGGCUAAGUAUGCAAUUGCAGCAGGUAUUUAUAGAUACCAGAUUACUCACUCAAGUCAAAGAAAGACAAUUUUGAAAAUUAAGGAAAAUUAUAAAAAAGUAAAAAGAAAGAAAAAAACAUGAGCAUAUGGUACGUAGGAAUGUAAAUAAAAUAGAAAGGCCCCUUUCUUACUUUUGUUGGUUUCCAUCUAUUUGUUCCAAGUUGAUGACUGCAAAAAUAUUUACUAAAUAUUUAAUUAAGAAAUGUGGUAGGCUGUACAUAUAUUCCAUUUUGUUUACUUUGACAGAAUUGAAGUCAUCUAUCUAUUAGCAGACUCUUCGUGACCAACCAUUCUGAUUUAUUUAUUGUUGAAAUUUCGUAAUAAACUACAAUAGCUUGUUGAAGACUUUGAGGCAUCCUUCCAUGCAAAUCAGUUGAUUGUAGAAGGGAUAAUAUAAUUUGAUAUCUGGAUUUAUUGUGGUCUCUAAAUUUGGAUUCCGUCAAGAUUUAAUAAUAUAACUAUUAUUCUUGGAACAUGACAAAAUUAAUUGUUUGGACUGAUUGGACCGAGAACUAAUAGGUAUACCGGUCCAAACAAAGAUUUGAACUGAUUGAAUCGAAAAUUACUCCAAACCGAUAAAAAUUGAAAGCUAGGGCAAAAACCAGUAGCUGCACAAGUUGAACCGGUUUAAUAAAUUUUUUUAUUUUUUAAAGUGUUUAUGAAUAUUUAUUUAUUGUUGGUUUAGUGAUUGAACCAAUCAAACCAAUUGAAUCAGGAACCAAUAGUUUGACUGAUUCAACCACUGGUCUAGUUAUUAAAAUACUAUAUGUGACACUCUAAGAUUGUAUCAUGUCAUCAUCAGAAAAUUUGUAUAAUUUUUUAAUUUUUAAGUGAUGAUAUAAUACAAUCUCAAAGUACCACACAUCAAACAUUUGUCUUUUUGAAGUCUAAAAACAAAAAUGGAUUUAAUUAUCAAAUUUAGAGAUAAAAGAAAUUAUAUUAUCCCAUUAUAUAAAAAGGUGAGCAAAGAUUAUAUAUUAGAUAUAUUGACAUCCACUAAUUGAAUAACUUUUAAAAGAUAAUUAUGGUUUAUUAAAAAUUUUGAAUUUAAUGAGAAAAAGUAUUUCAAAAUAUUGUGAAAAGAGAAAAAAUAUAUUUGUGAAAUUUGUGAAAAGUGGGUAGUAUGUUUUGGACUUGAGGUUUUUUCUAAGAUAAGGAGAGUUUUAUUUUAUUUAAAAAAUUAUAGUUAAAAUUUAUUAAAUUAUAUUUUUAUUUUUAUUUUGCAUUUAAUUAUACAAUUUUUAUUUGAAUUAUAUCUAAUUAACAUAUAACACCAACUUAAUAAAUAAUUUUUAAUUAAUAGAGAAUUAAAGUACUAACAUAUUAUUAUAAACAAAAAUAAUAGAUAAAAGAUGUAUAUGAGAAUAUGAGAAUUUUUAUUGCAUCAUUCUAUAUUUUUCAUCAUCUUUACAAGUAGCAUACUCCUCUAUAUAUAGAGAGAGAGAUUAGACUCUGCAUAUUCUAAUACGUAAAUAGAAAAAGGGUUACGAGAAUAUGAAAGGUUUAAGGAAGAUUAAAAGUUAAAUGUUAAAGAAGAUGAAAAGUGGAAGAUUAAGGGAGAUGAAAAGUGAAAGGUUGAACAUCCACUUAAUAUCAUUCAUAACACUUUCCAUUGGAUGUCCAUUGUAUAAAGGAUAUGCCUCAUUAAAAAUCUUACUAGGAAAAACCUGUGGCACAAAAACCUAGUAAAAAAACAGUACAUAAUCCUUUGAUACAUAGUAUAUCACAACCAAAAAAAUGUACUACGAAUUUACUCCCCCUCAUGUAAGCAUCACUUCAGAUCUUUAAAACAACGCAAUUUAAUGUUGAAAAUUAACUUCUAAAAUGUAGUAGUAAGGAGUGCCUUAGUAAAAAGAUUUGCCAAAUUCUUACUUGAACAAGUCUGUUGAACAUUUAUAUCUCUAUUCUUUUGUAGAUUAUGAGUGAAGAAAAAAAUUGUUGAUGUUUUGUUCUAUCACCUUUAAUAUAUCCUUUAUUAAGUUGUGCAAUGCAAGCUGUAUUAUCUUUAUAUAAGUCUGUUGGAGCUUAUUUUCCAGAGCUUAAACCACAAUAUUUUCGUAUGUGAUGAAUUAUAGACCUUAGCCACACACAUUCAUGACUAGCCUCAUGGAUUGCCAAAAUCUCAACAUGAUUAGAAGAAGUAGCAGCAAUUUUUUGUUUAAUAAAUUGCCAAGAAAUUGCAGUACCACCAUAUGUGAAAACAUAACCAGUUUAUGAUCGAUCAUUGUGAGGAUCAUAUAAGUACCCUGCAUCUACAAAACCAACAAAUUUUGUUUUGGGGAGGUUAGGGAAAAAUAAACCUAUAUCUAUUGUACCUUGAAGAUAACGAAAAAACUUGUUUAACCCCAUUCCAAUGUUUUCGAGUUGGGCAAGAGCUAAGUCUUGCUAAUAAGUCAACAGCAAAUGAUAUAUCAGGUUGUAUAUGACUAGCAAAAUACGUCAAUGCACCAAUAUCACUUAAAUAUGGUACUUCAGGACCAAGAAAAUCUUUAUCAUUUUCCUGAUGACGGAAAGGGUCUUUAUUUACAUCAACUGACCUAACAACCAUUGGGGUGCUCAACGGAUGUGCAUUAUGCAUGUAAAAUCUUCUUAGAAAUUUUUCUAUAUAUAUUGUUUGAUGCACAAGGAUUCUAUUCUUUAGGUGCUCAAUUUGUAACGCUAGACAAAAUAUUGUCUUUCCAAGGUCUUUCAUUUCAAAUUCUUUCUUUAAGCACUCCAUUGUCACUAAAAUCUUUUCAGGAAUCCCAAUGAUAUUUAAAUCAUUAACAUACACAAUAAUUAUAAAAAAUCUUGAUUCAAACCUUCUUUAUAAAAAUGCAUGGGGAAAUGAGAUCAUUCUUAUAACCUUCCCUCAAUAAAUACUCACUAAGGCGAUUAUACCACAUGCGCCCAAAUUGUUUCAAUCCAUAAAGGGAUCUGCUUAAUUUGAUUGAGUUAUGUUCUCGAGAACAUGAAUUAGCUAUUUCUGGUAGUUUAAAACCUUAUGGGAGUUUAGUAUAAAUGUUAUUAUCAAGUGGGUCAUAUAAAUAUGUUGUAACUACAUCCAUUAGGUGUAAAUCAAGCCCUUCUCUUAUUGCCAGACUAAUUAAGAAUCUAAAAGUGGUGCAUAUGGACUUGACGGGACCAACGAGAACACAGAGUUGUAGCGGCCACUGUUAUGUCAUGGUUUUGGUGGAUGAUUACUCAAGGUUCGUUUGGGUGAAAUUUUUGAAAGAGAAGAGUGAAGCAUUAUCCAAGUUUGUGGAGUUCAAAGCUGCUGUUGAAAAAGAGUUUGGAAAGAAGAUUAAGUGUCUUCGAAGUGAUAAUGGCGGAGAAUACAUGUCCGAUGAUUUUUUUCAAUAUUGUAAUAACAACGGCAUCUGUCGUCAAAUGACUUGUCCAGAUACUCCACAGCAGAAUGGAGUUACAGAAAGAAAGCUUGGUUAUCUUGCUUCGAUUUGCCUUUCAUGGCUGCAUGACAAGAAUCUUCCUCGAGAGCUUUAGGUGGAAGCUGUUCUUUGUGCAUGUCAUGUGACAAAUAGGCUGCCUCUUUGGCCAGGUACACAGAAAUCUCCUUUUGAGAUUUUAUAUGGUGAAAAGCCAAAUGUGAAUUAUUUUCGAGUCUUCGAUUCUAUUUGUUAUGUACAUGUUCCGAAAUCGAAAAGAACUAAACUUGAUCCGAAAGCAAAGAAGUGCGUAUUUGUUGGCUAUGAUUCUUACAGGAAGGGAUGGAGGUGUAUGGAUCCGGAUACGAAGAAGUUUAUUACUUCGAGAGAUGUCGUGUUCGAUGAAGUAUCAUCUUUCUACUCCACUCAAAGAUUUGCUGCAGAAAAUAUUGUUCUUGAAGGUGAUGGUGAAAACUUGGAUGAGCUAUUUCCAAGAGUUAAUUUGCAAUCAUUCACUGAUGAUGAGUUGGAAAAUGAAUCUCCAACACCUGCUACAAGUCAGAAUGUUCAACGACAUGAGGGUGGUGAGCAACAGAGAGUGAGGAGGUCUACCAGAGAAACGAGACAACCUGAGUAUCUCAGAGACUAUGAGGUGCAGCUUAAUCAUUGUAGUAUCACUUCUUGUUUCUUUGUUGGAGCGUCUGAUGAAGAACCAGUAAGUUAUGAAGAAGCCAAAGACCAUUCAAAAUGGGAGGCAGCCAUGGAAGAAGAAAUUGAAGCUUUAGACAAAAAUGAGACGUGGGAGUUGGUUCCUAAACCAGAAAAUUGUAAGCCGAUCACUUGUAAAUGGGUUUUUCGCGUGAAGAAAAAAUUGGAUGGCACCAUUGAUAGAUUUAAAGCUCGUCUGGUGGCUCGUGGUUUUUCUCAAAAUUAUGGAUUGGACUACGAGGAGACGUUCAGCCCAGUAGCAAAGAUGGUGACAGUAAGAUCGAUUAUUUCGCUUGCUGCGUUUAAAGGUUGGAGACUAUGGCAACUUUAUGUAAAGAAUGCAUUUCUUUACGGAGAUUUAGAUCGUGAAGUAUUUAUGGAGCAACCUGUUGGCUUUGUCUCUAAGGAAUUUCCCGAUCGUGUUUGCCGUUUGAAGAAAGCGUUAUAUGGCCUUAAGCAAGCGCCACGAGCAUGGUAUGGUAAAGCUGCUCAAUAUCUCAUUUUUUAUGGCUUUAAAGUUUCUGAAUCAGAUUCUAGUUUAUUUAUAAAAUUGGAAUCAAGUGCACAUCUCUUGGUAUUAUUAUAUGUUGAUGAUAUGAUAAUAACUGGAGAUAAUGAAUCAGAAAUUUGUAAUUUGAGGAAUGACUUGUCUGUUCGUUUCGAGAUGAAAAAUUUGGGGGAGAUUGGAUGUUUUCUUGGUCUAGAAGUGGAAAAAUCAGAUCAAGAUUACUUUGUUUCUCAAAAAGGCUAUGCAAUGAAUCUCUUUGAGCAUUUCGGUAUAGGGGAGUCGAAAGAAAAAGCUACUCCGAUGGAGCCAAAUUUGAAGUUGAAGAAAGAUGAUGGGAGGCCGUUGGAAGAUGCAAGGAAGUUCCGACAGCUUUUUGGAAGCUUAAUCUAUUUGACCAUUACAAGCCCUGAAAUUUCAUACUCUGUUAGUGUUGUUUCUCAAUUUAUGCAGAAUCCAACAACUAUUCAUAUGGAUGCAGCAAAGAGGAUUUUGCGUUAUGUUAAAGGAACUAUUGGUUAUGGUCUUCUAUACAAGAGAUGUGAUAGCUUUAUGUUGAGUGGAUUUAUUGAUGCCAAUUGGGCUGGAGAUACAAACGAUCGUCACUCGACUUCGGGAUAUUGUUUCAGCAUCGCUUCAGCAAUGGUUUCUUGGUGUAGCAAAAAGCAAGGUAUUGUUGCUUUGUCGAGUACCGAAGCCGAGUAUGUGGCAGCAACUAUGGCUGUACAAUAGUGCAUUUGGUUGAAGAGGUUGAUUGGAGACAUAUGCAAAGUUGAUUAUGCUGUAAAAAUCAAGUGUGAUAAUGAAAGUGCUAUUAAGCUUGCAUUGAACCCGGUUUUUCAUGCUCGAACGAAGCACAUCGAGGUUCGACAUCAUUUUGUUCGAGGAAAGGUUCUAAGUGAAGAGAUUGAGCUUGUAAAUAUUCGCACCAACGAUCAAGUGGCUGAUAUUUUCACUAAGGCUUUGGUGAAGCCUAAGUUUCAGCAAUUUAGAGAUGCUCUUGGAGUUCUUGAUCGUAAGCAUGCACUAAGGGGGAGUGUUAAAAAUUAGUGCAUCUUUCUGGAUUUUUAAUUUACUUGUUUUCUUUAUCAAAUAAGUUGGUUCCUAUUUUAUAGGGAUAUGAUCAGAUUAUGUUUUGUUAGUUGAGGUUUUAGUGGGCUAUUAGUUGCAGGCUUUUUAGCUUUAACGUUACAUGUAGUUAAGCUAUUUAUAUGUCAUUUUAUCUAAUGUAAUUUUUUUGUGUUUUCAGUAAUCAAAAAUGUUCUUCAAUACUUUGAGCUUUUCUUGUUAUUAUUUCUUUCAUUACCUCGGUCAUUCCCUUUUGUUUUAUGUUUUGGAAACGGAGGUCUAUGCAAUUUGGGAUUGCGCUUUUUCUAGAGCUGUAUGGCUUGCUGUGGUUCCGAGGUAAGUUUAUAAUGUUCUUCUCUGUCGUUUAAUGAAUGGUUCUUAUGGAAUUUACAUAAUAAAGGGAGUUGUGGUAAUGCUGAUAUUGAUUGGCAAACUCUAUUCUCAAAUUUAUGUUGGUUUCUUUGGAAAAACAAAAAUUCCUUUAUUUUUUCUAAUAGUAAUAGUUGUGUUCAAGCCCUUGUGGAUACAGGUUAUACGUGGAUAAGGAGUUAUGCAGAGAUGAAUUUGAAAUUGGGUCAUCCUAGAUCCAUGCGCUCUUUAUUGAAUUGGUCUCGUCCAGUGAGGGAUUGGAUAAAACUUAAUACGAAUGGGGCAGUGUCACAUAAUGGACUUCAUGCGUUCAUUGGAGGUGUACUUUGAGACUCAAAUGCAGAAUGGUUGUGAGGUUACUCAAUGUUAUUGGGUAAGGACUCCGUUUUCAAAGUUGAAGCUAGAGCGAUGGUGGAAGGUCUUUUUAUAGCUUGGGGAAAGGGGUUCAAGAGGAUUGAGGUGGAAUGUGAUAAUGCUUUGUUGAUAGAAUUGUUGUUAGCAACUUGUGGGGUUAAUAGUAGCUUGGUAGAGUUAAGGUUGUUGCAUCAGCUCUUGCCUAGGAAGUAAGAUGCAAGAACGUGUCACAUCUCAAGGGAGCAUAAUGGGAUUGCAGAUCAUAUGGCUAAAUGUGCUGCAGUUGAUACUCAAUCUUAUAGCUGUUUGAAGAACCUUCGAUUUCGGUACAAGAUUUAUUGAUUGUUGAUCGUAUUGUAUCGUUGCCUGCUUAAUGUUUAACAUGUUAAUGUAACCACUUUAUGCUAUUUCUUUUUACCGAAAAAAAAGAGAGUUUAGAUGUAUUCAAGAAUCAUUUUAAUUAAAAAGAAUACAAACAAAAAUAGAAACAUGGAAUAUUGAAAAUGCACCAAAUUAUGUAACCUCUUAAAAGAAAAGAAUAUAUUAUAAAUUUUGACUAAAUAUUUUUAAAUUGCCAAUGAUAAUCGUAUGCAAAUUUUAAUGGCGUAUUAAGACAUUUAACAUAUGUUGUAAAGUAUAAAUAAAAGUAAUAAUAGAAUAAUGCAUAAUUUUUUUAUAUUAUACAAUAAGGAAACGUGAUGAACUAUGUCUCAUUUAAAUUGCAAUAUUUAAUUGUUUUUGUUUUUGUUAGUUUUUUAAACCUUACGUAUGGAAGUCAUUAUCCAAACAUAAUCAAUAUGAAAUAAAAGUUCAUUCGAUGGUUUUUUUUUUAAUUACAAAUUAAUGAUUAUUCAUGUAUCACUUUUCUUUUUUAAAAAUAAAAUAGAACAAUUGCAAAUCAGAACUUUUACAGAUGAAUUUUUCUUUUGCUAGCGAAAAUAAAACACUAAUUAUAUUAAAUUAAUUUACUCUAUACGAAUUAAAGUACUUGUAUUAUUAUUUGAUAUUUUAUGAAAAUCAAAUUGAUUUAUAAAUUUUAUGACCAAUCUAAAUGUAUUGUUAAAUAGAAUGUAUAAUUUGUUAAAAUAUCAAUUCAAGCUACAUAAACUUCAUGACUUUUAAUAUGUGCUAGAUUAAAAAACAGAAAAAGAAAUACAAAGAGGUCGAAUUUAUCAACCUUUUACAUAAAUGAAGAAAAUUAAAAUCAAUUCGCAAUUUAACUUAAUUUAUUAACUCAAUUGCUCAAUGAAUUACAUCUUCAACCGGCACAUAGGUUCAAAGUGGAAUUGGAUCGAUGAGCAAUGAAGUGAUCCCACCUUUAGCAGCUUUGCCAACAUGUGUAUAACCAUCUCCUUCUCUGUAAAGCACAUCCAUCACUCUUGCAAGGUUGAGACUUCUAUUUAGUACAGGUACUGGCAUUUCUGUUGGUUUCAGGAACUCUUCGUUAAUGUCCUUCCAGGAGCUCUCUAUAUGCUUGUUGAAUUCAUCAUAUGCCUCUUGUGCCGUUACGCCAUAUUGUUCCAUGUAGCACUCGAUGGCUGAGCAAUCAUCUUCUCUCCGAUGCUUGAACUUGUGUUCAGCGAUGUCAUCCAUGAACCUGCAAAUUAUUGUGGAAGCUUUGAUGAUCUUAGGGUCAUUGGUUGCCCAUGCAAAUGUCUCUGGAGUUAUAGCAUCUCCCAUGCCCACAAAAGCUGUAAUAGCAAGCAUGCCAUAGCCCGAGGUUGGCAAUGCAUUAUCCCUAAACUCCUCAAAUGUUGGUUUGUAGUUUUGAUGGGUCCAUUUGGCUUCCAAAAGGUAAGCUUGAGCAAGUCGUAUCAUCUGCACAAACAUCAAAAUAUAACAAUUAAUACUAACUAACAUUUCAACUG